rnacentral:misc_RNA from 1 species
UUUCCGUAGGUGAACCUGCGGAAGGAUCAUUAACGAGUUAGGGUCUUCUAGGCCCGACCUCCCAACCCUUUGUUUACUGAACCAUUGUUGCCUCGGUGGGUCCGUCUUACGACCGCCGGGGGAUCGCCGCGGGGCGCCCCCUGGCCAGCGCCCACCGAUAGCCCAACCUUUAAAACCCUUUGUGAAUCGUGUCUUAUGACUAAAUUUAUGAUUAAACAAUCAAAACAAAACUUUCAACAACGGAUCUCUUGGUUCUG